AAAAUUUAAAAUUAAAAUACUAAAAUAGUAAAUAAUUAUUUGUUUAAACUUAAAUAAUUUGGCGGUAUUUUAGUUUAUUUAGAGGAAUCUGUUUAAUAAUUGAUAUUCCACGAAUAAAUUUACUUAAUUUAUAAUUUUGUAUAUCGUUGUUACAAAAAUAUUUUUUAAUAA
rnacentral:rRNA from 1 species